UUGGUUUGAAUGAAAUAUUUUGGAUAUACAUUGGUUGUACUUGGUCACCUUGGUUGAUUCUUUGGUUGUGUUCGAGAUGCUAGUCCUAUGUGGUGUCUAGUAUUCUUAGAGUUAGGGGUUGUUCGAAUUUUAACUCGUAUAAUGUUUUAGACUCGUCGACUGCUCGUGCUUCGGAGUCUACGCAGGGUUAGCUGUUUGCCAAGAUUCACGUGGAUAAGCAAGCAGUUUAUGAUUUGAAAGCUGGUCCACUCCGAAUCUUUAUUCCUCGGAGGUUUAUUUUCUUUUAAUAAAUUGUCAAACUACCUUUUUCUUAGACCGCAGUAGUAAACUAGAAGUCUAUAUUAUUCUAUUCUGUUUGUCGGAUUUGUCUGACUGGCUUUAUUUUAUGCUUUGGCAUUACUAUUGUUUAACUCUACUUAUUUUUAUUUAAUGGAAGUACUUAUAUUUAAA